rnacentral:rRNA from 1 species
UACGUAGGUGACAAGCGUUGUCCGGAUUUACUGGGCGUAAAGAGCGCGCAGGCGGUCGUUCAAGUCGAGUGUGAAAGCCCCCGGCUCAACUGGGGAGGGUCACUCGAUACUGAUCGACUCGAAGGCAGGAGAGGGUAGUGGAAUUCCCGGUGUAGUGGUGAAAUGCGUAGAUAUCGGGAGGAACACCAGUGGCGAAGGCGGCUACCUGGCCCAAUACUGACACUCAGGUGCGACAGCGUGGGGAGCAAACAGG